CGGCUGAAGUUUAAACUGAUGUGUUUCCAAUCUACUACAGGUUGACCUUCACGUCGUUCUGUAACGUAUUUCACUUAACAGACGCCAGUAUUGCGUCACCACACGUCAGGUGCCGUUCUACGUGCUUCUUGCUUCGGAAACAUCCGCUCGCUCCGUCCUCACCGUGACCUUGUGACUUCAGCACUGUGAUUAUUAUCCUGUUUGAAAGAAGAGGCGACCGGGGCGGGGUGUUCACGCCUAGAUGGCAGAAGGCAGCACCAGACGGCUCCAGAAGUUUCCAUCGCCUGGUGUCUGGGCUGGGUUUCUGCCACUUGUAACCCAAAGAAUCUUAACUAAUGGCGAUAGUUAUUUCAACUGAGCGUAUAAUUUCGCCCGAGGUCUCUGGAAAGCCAAAGCAAAAAGUGAACCACACAACUCUCGUGCUCUGACAUCACAAACCCCAAUGCACCAUGAAAGAGCGCCUUUCCUCAAGGGCUCGGGCCGUUUUCUCAUGGUCUUUCGCACUGGUGGCCCGGAGCGACGUCUUCCACAGCUGUUUUGGAAAUGACGCAGAAACAUUCCUCAUGUGGCAGGCUGCCUCUUGGACUGAACCUUGACAAAAGACCAGCAACAGAAACCAAGCGUCAGUCAGCGUGCGUGAGGACCUCCUACGUCUUUUACCCAGAGAGGCAAACGGGCCACGGGGCUUGGGGUCUGGCCAUUAAUUGCCCCUGGCCCCUCUCUAUGGCCUCCUCAGGAGCACCUCCAAGUGCCGCUCUGAAGUUCGACUAACCCGUCAUCUCUUUGGUUGGAAGGUUGGUGUUUCCUUGCGAGACCACAAAGCCAUAUUACAUUCAAAGUUAAAUAAACAAACGUUCGAGUCUGUG